rnacentral:tRNA from 1 species
GCAUUGGUGGUUCAGUGGUAGAAUUCUUGCCUUCCAUAUGGGAGGUCCAGAUUCAAUUUCCACCCAAUGCA